rnacentral:misc_RNA from 1 species
GCCCCUACAUCACCAGUGUCAGGGUGAGAAUAUCUCAAUUCCCGUCACAGUUUCUGUAUCAUUAUCAAUUAUUGGUUCAGGGUUGAUCUUGACCAUAUAUAUAGGAAAUUUGAUACUCCAGGCCUCUAGAAGAAAACAAGGCCUCUUGGGAAUUGAAUGCCACAUUUUUUCCCCUGAAAAAAAGUCGCACCUAUUAGAGCACCCGCAGUGGUAAAGUAAGGUGCUA